AAAAGAUAGAAAGAGGCAAGAAUUGUGUAAAGCGGGGAUAGUCACCACCAGGAUCCGGCAGCAGUCCCGUUGCACGAUGUUCCGACGGUCCGAGGCCGAAGGGCAGGAGCAGCGAGGCCGGUCUUGGGCAACGAGAGGGUGCAGGUCAGGGAGGAAGCAGCAGGUCUCAGGUAGCAGGCCCAGGGAAGUCCGUCAGCAAACGGUCCGUAGGGAAGGAUCUGAAGGCAGGAAGCUCGUGUCGUGGUGAGAGAUCAUGAGAGAUCAGCCUCUGUGUUGCGGUGAGAGAUCAGCCUCCACCGUUGUGGUGAAGGAUCAGAUGGCAGAGAACCCCUCAAGUCUGCUGUGGUGAGAUAUAAGCCUCCACCAUCGCCGUGGUUGUUGGACCCUCUUUUAU
ensembl:lncRNA